rnacentral:rRNA from 1 species
AUUGAACGCUGGCGGCAGGCCUAACACAUGCAAGUCGAGCGGAUGAAGGGAGCUUGCUCCUGAAUUCAGCGGCGGACGGGUGAGUAAUGCCUAGGAAUCUGCCUGGUAGUGGGGGAUAACGUCCGGAAACGGGCGCUAAUACCGCAUACGUCCUGAGGGAGAAAGUGGGGGAUCUUCGGACCUCACGCUAUCAGAUGAGCCUAGGUCGGAUUAGCUAGUUGGUGGGGUAAAGGCCUACCAAGGCGACGAUCCGUAACUGGUCUGAGAGGAUGAUCAGUCACACUGGAACUGAGACACGGUCCAGACUCCUACGGGAGGCAGCAGUGGGGAAUAUUGGACAAUGGGCGAAAGCCUGAUCCAGCCAUGCUGCGUGUGUGAAGAAGGUCUUCGGAUUGUAAAGCACUUUAAGUUGGGAGGAAGGGCAGUAAGUUAAUACCUUGCUGUUUUGACGUUACCAACAGAAUAAGCACCGGCUAACUUCGUG